GGAAGCACCUGGCCACGCAUCAGGUGGUGGUCCCAACUCCCUGCGUCCUUGGGUGCGAGUCACCUGGCCACGUAUCAGGUGUCGCCAACCUCCCUGACCACGAAUCAGGGAGGACACCUGGCCACGCAUCAGGUGUCUGCGAUGGCAUACACGCGCACACGCAUACGCAUUACGCAUACACUCCUUCCCGGUGGCCGUGCAUGUUCUGACGAUACCACGAGAAUCCGCGGCCGAGCUGAGGCUGGCCAUUUGCCCAAAACCAUUUGUCGGCGUUUCUCGAACAUAGCCUAAUCAAUCCUAUUCCGUCCGGCGUCCAGUAUUUGUGGUGACUGACUCAGUUUUGCACUUUAAAAUGCUAAACAGCAGAGGAUUUGUUUCCUUCAAUUUGGAUGAGAAGAAAACUGUUCUGUCAAUUCGUGAAUAUGUUUCGUGAGAGCCACGAUUCCAGUCAAAGCUCUGGACCUUCAUCAACUGCUGCGAGAGGAUCCAGCGCAGUAUCUUCGGAGCUUUGAGCUCCGAGAGGACAAUUUCAAUAAUGUCGUUCAUAUGCCGAACGUUGUGGAAUCUGCCACACCUGAACAUGUGCGUCCCAUCGUUACUCCUACCGUCAAUCCUGCAGGCGGCUGUAAAAAAAUCCACCGUUGCCCAAAUUUUCGCAAAGACCAAGUUAAGCAAUUAGAGAGCUUUUAUAAGAACUGUCCCUAUCCGAACUUUGCUCAGCGCACUGAAUUGGCCGAAAUUAUUGGAGAGAGCACAGGUGAGCAGCCAGUGUGGAGGUGGUUCAGGAGAAGACGUUACAAGCAGCGCAGAACUGGGGGCACUGUUCCGGCUGCCAGCCCUCCACAUCGACUUGCAGUCCUGCAGCUACGAAAUCCCUCACAUCCGGUCCAGUUGAGUCUGCUCCCGCAACCCCGUUUUUCCCGCAGACUUUGCGGAUUUCACCGGCAUCAGGCGUGCAAAGCGGAUUUCAGUUGAAAUACAGCGGUCAGGCCAACGACAUAUCCUUCGGAUGGUCAUGCCUGCUGGCGGUGAUCAUCCGUACUUGAUUAUGCCAGGUGGAAAUUCGUAAAAGCCGGAUUCAGAUGCUUCUGGAUUGAUCAACAAUAUUACUGGUCACUUUCACUCCUCAUUAUGGACGUUUAGUCGUCCCCACAUUUUUGCCACUGCUUUACGACUUACGAGAGGGGCUGAUGACUGCUGCGG